AGGACGAACGCUGGCGGCGUGCCUAACACAUGCAAGUCGAGCGAUGAAACCCUUCGGGGUGGAUUAGCGGCGGACGGGUGAGUAACACGUGGGUAACCUGCCUCAAAGAGGGGAAUAGCCUCCCGAAAGGGAGAUUAAAUACCGCAUAAUAUGUUUUGGCCUCCUGGCCUUGACAUCAAAGGAUUUUCUUUUAGAAAUUCCACUUUGAGAUGGACCCGCGGCGCAUUAGCUAGUUGGUGAGGUAACGGCCCACCAAGGCAACGAUGCGUAGCCGACCUGAGAGGGUGAUCGGCCACAUUGGAACUGAGACACGGUCCAGACUCCUACGGGAGGCAGCAGUGGGGAAUAUUGCGCAAUGGGGGAAACCCUGACGCAGCAACGCCGCGUGAAUGAUGAAGGCCUUGGUUGUAAAGUUCUGUCUUCUAGGACGAUAAUGACGGUACCAGAGGAGGAAGCCGACGGCUAACUACGCGCCAGCAGCCGCGGUAA
rnacentral:rRNA from 1 species